rnacentral:ncRNA from 1 species
GUUUAAAACAACAGGUGAAAGUAAAAGGUAAAUAAUAAGGGACAAAGGAUAUUUAACUAUAUAAAAACCCGAACGGUGGUAAACUCCAUCUAAGGCUAAAUACCGGCACAAGAUCGAUAGCCAACGAGUACUGUAAGGGAAAAUUGAAAAGAACUCUGAAGAGAGAGUUCAAGAGAGUGUGAAACCGUUAAGAGGUAAACGGGUGGGGC